AGUGAACGCUGGCGGUAGGCCUAACACAUGCAAGUCGAACGGCAGCACAGAGGAGCUUGCUCCUUGGGUGGCGAGUGGCGGACGGGUGAGGAAUACAUCGGAAUCUACUCUGUCGUGGGGGAUAACGUAGGGAAACUUACGCUAAUACCGCAUACGACCUACGGGUGAAAGCAGGGGAUCGUCGGACCUUGCGCGAUUGAAUGAGCCGGUGUCGGAUUAGCUAGUUGGCGGGGUAAAGGCCCACCAAGGCGACGAUCCGUAGCUGGGCUGAGAGGAUGACCAGCCACACUGGAACUGAGACACGGUCCAGACUCCUACGGGAGGCAGCAGUGGGGAAUAUUGGACAAUGGGCGCAAGCCUGAUCCAGCCAUACCGCGUGGGUGAAGAAGGCCUUCGGGUUGUAAAGCCCUUUUGUUGGGAAAGAAAUCCAGCUGGUUAAUACCCGGUUGGGAUGACGGUACCCAAAGAAUAAGCACCGGCUAACUUCGUGCCAGCCGCCGCAGUAA
rnacentral:rRNA from 1 species